AGCGUACACGGUGGAUGCCCUGGCAGUCAGAGGCGAUGAAGGACGUGCUAAUCUGCGAUAAGCGUCGGUAAGGUGAUAUGAACCGUUAUAACCGGCGAUUUCCGAAUGGGGAAACCCAGUGUGUUUCGACACACUAUCAUUAACUGAAUCCAUAGGUUAAUGAGGCGAACCGGGGGAACUGAAACAUCUAAGUACCCCGAGGAAAAGAAAUCAACCGAGAUUCCCCCAGUAGCGGCGAGCGAACGGGGAGCAGCCCAGAGCCUGAAUCAGUGUGUGUGUUAGUGGAAGCGUCUGGAAAGGCGCGCGAUACAGGGUGACAGCCCCGUACACAAAAAUGCACAUAUUGUGAGCUCGAUGAGUAGGGCGGGACACGUGGUAUCCUGUCUGAAUAUGGGGGGACCAUCCUCCAAGGCUAAAUACUCCUGACUGACCGAUAGUGAACCAGUACCGUGAGGGAAAGGCGAAAAGAACCCCGGCGAGGGGAGUGAAAAAGAACCUGAAACCGUGUACGUACAAGCAGUGGGAGCCUCUUUAUGGGGUGACUGCGUACCUUUUGUAUAAUGGGUCAGCGACUUAUAUUCUGUAGCAAGGUUAACCGAAUAGGGGAGCCGAAGGGAAACCGAGUCUUAACUGGGCGUUAAGUUGCAGGGUAUAGACCCGAAACCCGGUGAUCUAGCCAUGGGCAGGUUGAAGGUUGGGUAACACUAACUGGAGGACCGAACCGACUAAUGUUGAAAAAUUAGCGGAUGACUUGUGGCUGGGGGUGAAAGGCCAAUCAAACCGGGAGAUAGCUGGUUCUCCCCGAAAGCUAUUUAGGUAGCGCCUCGUGAAUUCAUCUCCGGGGGUAGAGCACUGUUUCGGCAAGGGGGUCAUCCCGACUUACCAACCCGAUGCAAACUGCGAAUACCGGAGAAUGUUAUCACGGGAGACACACGGCGGGUGCUAACGUCCGUCGUGAAGAGGGAAACAACCCAGACCGCCAGCUAAGGUCCCAAAGUCAUGGUUAAGUGGGAAACGAUGUGGGAAGGCCCAGACAGCCAGGAUGUUGGCUUAGAAGCAGCCAUCAUUUAAAGAAAGCGUAAUAGCUCACUGGUCGAGUCGGCCUGCGCGGAAGAUGUAACGGGGCUAAACCAUGCACCGAAGCUGCGGCAGCGACACUAUGUGUUGUUGGGUAGGGGAGCGUUCUGUAAGCCUGUGAAGGUGUGCUGUGAGGUAUGCUGGAGGUAUCAGAAGUGCGAAUGCUGACAUAAGUAACGAUAAAGCGGGUGAAAAGCCCGCUCGCCGGAAGACCAAGGGUUCCUGUCCAACGUUAAUCGGGGCAGGGUGAGUCGACCCCUAAGGCGAGGCCGAAAGGCGUAGUCGAUGGGAAACAGGUUAAUAUUCCUGUACUUGGUGUUACUGCGAAGGGGGGACGGAGAAGGCUAUGUUGGCCGGGCGACGGUUGUCCCGGUUUAAGCGUGUAGGCUGGUUUUCCAGGCAAAUCCGGAAAAUCAAGGCUGAGGCGUGAUGACGAGGCACUACGGUGCUGAAGCAACAAAUGCCCUGCUUCCAGGAAAAGCCUCUAAGCAUCAGGUAACAUCAAAUCGUACCCCAAACCGACACAGGUGGUCAGGUAGAGAAUACCAAGGCGCUUGAGAGAACUCGGGUGAAGGAACUAGGCAAAAUGGUGCCGUAACUUCGGGAGAAGGCACGCUGAUAUGUAGGUGAAGUCCCUUGCGGAUGGAGCUGAAAUCAGUCGAAGAUACCAGCUGGCUGCAACUGUUUAUUAAAAACACAGCACUGUGCAAACACGAAAGUGGACGUAUACGGUGUGACGCCUGCCCGGUGCCGGAAGGUUAAUUGAUGGGGUUAGCGGUAACGCGAAGCUCUUGAUCGAAGCCCCGGUAAACGGCGGCCGUAACUAUAACGGUCCUAAGGUAGCGAAAUUCCUUGUCGGGUAAGUUCCGACCUGCACGAAUGGCGUAAUGAUGGCCAGGCUGUCUCCACCCGAGACUCAGUGAAAUUGAACUCGCUGUGAAGAUGCAGUGUACCCGCGGCAAGACGGAAAGACCCCGUGAACCUUUACUAUAGCUUGACACUGAACAUUGAGCCUUGAUGUGUAGGAUAGGUGGGAGGCUUUGAAGUGUGGACGCCAGUCUGCAUGGAGCCGACCUUGAAAUACCACCCUUUAAUGUUUGAUGUUCUAACGUUGGCCCCUAAUCGGGGUUGCGGACAGUGUCUGGUGGGUAGUUUGACUGGGGCGGUCUCCUCCUAAAGAGUAACGGAGGAGCACGAAGGUUGGCUAAUCCUGGUCGGACAUCAGGAGGUUAGUGCAAUGGCAUAAGCCAGCUUGACUGCGAGCGUGACGGCGCGAGCAGGUGCGAAAGCAGGUCAUAGUGAUCCGGUGGUUCUGAAUGGAAGGGCCAUCGCUCAACGGAUAAAAGGUACUCCGGGGAUAACAGGCUGAUACCGCCCAAGAGUUCAUAUCGACGGCGGUGUUUGGCACCUCGAUGUCGGCUCAUCACAUCCUGGGGCUGAAGUAGGUCCCAAGGGUAUGGCUGUUCGCCAUUUAAAGUGGUACGCGAGCUGGGUUUAGAACGUCGUGAGACAGUUCGGUCCCUAUCUGCCGUGGGCGCUGGAGAACUGAGGGGGGCUGCUCCUAGUACGAGAGGACCGGAGUGGACGCAUCACUGGUGUUCGGGUUGUCAUGCCAAUGGCACUGCCCGGUAGCUAAAUGCGGAAGAGAUAAGUGCUGAAAGCAUCUAAGCACGAAACUUGCCCCGAGAUGAGUUCU
rnacentral:rRNA from 1 species